GUUUUAAUAGUUUAAUAAAAAAUAUUGGUCUUGUAAACCUAAGAUGAAUACUCCUUCUUAAAACU
rnacentral:tRNA from 1 species